ACAGAGGUCUCAAGCGUUGUUCGGAUUCAUUGGGCGUAAAGGGUGCGUAGGUGGCAUGGUAAGUCGGAUGUGAAAUCCCGGGGCUCAACCCCGGAACUGCAUUCGAUACUGCUGCGCUAGAGUACUGGAGAGGAGCGCGGAAUUCCCGGUGUAGCGGUGAAAUGCGUAGAGAUCGGGAGGAAGGCCGGUGGCGAAGGCGGCGCUCUGGAACAUUUCUGACGCUGAGGCUCGAAAGCGUGGGGAGCAAACAGGA
rnacentral:rRNA from 1 species